ensembl:lncRNA
CUCAUGAAGAAAAGCUUCCAACUAUGCACAGCCUCCAAACAAGGCUGCAGCCCAUUGCUGUGUUCACCAAACACUAUUCAAUAUUGUGAGCUCUGCAUGUUGCACAGUUGGAGUCUAAGCAGACGGGUGCUCAAUAAUGAAGGAAACACGUUCAUAUGUGGCUGUGCAUACCUGGACUGAGCUGUUCUUCUUCACGCUGUCAGUCAGGAUGUCCCAGCAGCAGUGAGUGGGAAGGAUGCAGGAUCAGUGCAAAUUCUGACCCUCCUCUGCAGCACCACCUGCUUCGAGAUGAAAGCACUGGAUAAGCAGCAUUUUGUCUGGAUGACAGAAUAAACCUGACUUAUCUCCAGGUCCAAACUUCAAAGGGUCAAGUUGCUAAAAUCCUCCCCAGCACUGAGAGCCGUGGCAACUAAUUGCUUCAUUUUCAGAAGCAUUUCCAUCUUCUGGCACCGCACACAGCCACGGGAAACUGCUGCUCACCCAGCUGCAGACAUCUGAGAGGCAGACAGCACCUCGGGGAUGGAAGGCUGGAAAGCAAAGUACAGGUCUGUGUCACUGACAUGUUGACAUGUGAAAAUUCACACUGAUGACAAUCCAGGUCUCCUGGUAACAUCACAUAGUCCAAACAAAGAAAAGUUCCACAUAGAAGGUGCACCUGAGGUAUGCAAAAGGUUCUUUGGAGCAGAUGAAAAUAUUCCUGGAUGCAAGCCUGAGUCCAGCAAGCAGGACCACAUUUGGAAAAGGGCAGUAACCAUUGUGCCACACAACCUCAGCAACCCAACAGGGUUUAUGAUCCAUGCAGCAGGAUCCAUGGGAAGAAGUUCUCUAGUGAGCACUGUGAGCUCUACAAGGAAAGCACUGCAGCCCGUCCCAUCUCUGCAGGCUCCUUCCAGAAGCAAAGAUUUCCAGCUCAUUGUGAUGAAGGAUACACAAAUGUUUUCUAAUGUGUAAGUUACAGCUUCAAGGAGAAAUGUGGCUACCAAUGAAUUCAUCAGAGAACUGAGUUCUGCCAUUCACUGCAGUGACACCAGGGUUUCUUCCAUGCUGUCAGCAUCUCUAGGUAUAUUUCUGUAUAUUAUUACUGACAUAAGUUCCUGUAGUAACCCCUGAUCUCCAUGUGAAAGCCUUCUGGUUGGUGUUCUUUCAGUAAAGGUUUCACCUAAACCUGGAAAUGUGUUUGACAGAAAUCCUCAGGACAUUUUAAGCCGUUUGAAGAUACUGGGGCUCAUUCAUUUCUUCCCACAAAUAUCAUGCUAAGAUUUUCUCCAUCCAUGAGCAGCACAGAAAUUCAUAUGGAAUUAAACUCAGCAUCUGAUACAAGGCAUUGUUUUUGAAAGAAAAUGAUGUAUGAGCUUUAUAUAGAAAUAGAAGAAAUUUAAGUAUAAUUUCUUGAUAGUCAUUAUUAACUAAAGUUUUCAGCAUAAUGAAGGGAGUCUGAUCUUUUGUGUGCUGGGAAUACAGAACAUCCCAGGAAUUGGAAGGAGUUUUUAUUUUGCAGUGCUCCUCCCUCUUGUCUUAACCUGCAUGCCUGCUGCCAGAGUGGUUAUGAAACAAAAGUAGAAAUAUCUCCCUCGAGAGUCACCUGGCAGAAUCCCCUGAAGCAGAAUGAGGCAUCUCGUCACUGACAACAUAAGGCAAAGAAUAGGCUGCUCUCCAAAUCAGUGCUGUGCAGAGAUUCACGAUCUGCAAGAUGUAAAAGGACACGAGGAAGAUGACUUCUGAAUUGCCUUCAGGUCUUUGAUAUGCAAUUGA